CUCUCUCUCUCUCUCUCUCUCUCUCUCUCUCUCUCUCUCUCUCUCUCUCUCUCUCUCUCUCUCUCUCUCUCUCUCUCUCUCUCUCUCUCUCUCUCUGUCACGUGUGUGUGUGUGUGUGUGGUUGACACACCGUCAACAGGGGGAGGUCCACAGGAGCAAACACACACUUACUCUAGCAGCUUCGUCGAUGUCCACCUGCAGGAAAACCACGUCACUGAACUCGGCGCUCUCUGACAGUUGCUGCAACGGAGAGGAUCGGGAGGCGUGUCCAACCACAAGAGGGGAGCGGCUUGACCAAGGGUUGCCGGAGCAACAACCUCCCUCCUCUAAAGAGAUGCUCUUCAGAUGCCUCAGGAAAAGAGCUCCUUGCAUGCUUCCUUUGGUCCAACGAUUUAAGAGCUCCUUUUAACCCCGUUAAAGGAGUCGUCCACUUACGUCAUAAUAGGGGCCGAUCAGUUUACAGGAGCCGCUCCACUUGGCCUUGAACUCCACCACCACCAGUUUGUCCCCGGCAUCCUUCAGUUCUUUUUUGAACUGAUCCUACAGGAAAUAAGAAAACAGAGAAUGGCGUCUUAGUUUUAGUCACUGCUCGAUGAUGUCAGGGAUCAAUGGCUGGUUACAUAUAAACCCUUAAUCAUUUUCAUAAUAAUAACUUUGAAGCUUU